rnacentral:rRNA from 1 species
GGAGUUAGCCGGUGCUUCUUCUGUGAGUGAUGUCCUUCCUGCCGGCUAUUAACCCGCAGGCCUUCUUCCUCACUGAAAGUGCUUUACAACCCGAAGGCCUUCUUCACACACGCGGCAUGGCUGGAUCAGGGUUGCCCCCAUUGUCCAAUAUUCCCCACUGCUGCCUCCCGUAGGAGUCUGGGCCGUGUCUCAGUCCCAGUGUGGCUGAUCAUCCUCUCAGACCAGCUACGGAUCGUCGCCUUGGUGAGCCGUUACCUCACCAACCAGCUAAUCCGACAUAGGCUCAUCCGAUAGCGCGAGGCCCGAAGGUCCCCCGCUUUCCCCCGUAGGGCGUAUGCGGUAUUAGCCUGGGUUUCCCCAGGUUAUCCCCCACUACCGGGCAGAUUCCUAUGCAUUACUCACCCGUCCGCCGCUCGCCACCAGGGAGCAAGCUCCCCGUGCUGCCGCUCGACUUGCAUGUGUUAGGCCUGCCGCCAGCGUUCAAUCUGAGCCAUGAUCAAACUCU